GCCUAGUUCCUUAUUAUAAAUUCACAAGGUAAAAAUUAUAUACAAGUAAAUAUACUAAUUCUAUCAUUAUUACAAAAAUUUUAAAAUUAAAUAAAUAAUCUUAAUAAAAAACCUAAAAUAAUUAUAAAAUCAAAAUAGAAAAUAAUGAACUAAAACGUAAUCUUAAAGAUAGCUGGUUUAAAGCUUACUAUUAUAUUUUAUAAAACAAAUUAUAGGUUAUUAACUUCAAAGCUUAUCCCUUAAAGAAUAAAUAAGUUAAUAUUUAUAAUUAAAAAAUUAAAUAAAAACAAUUAACUUUAAAAAAUUAAAAUUUUUCUUAAGAAACUAGAUAUCUUGGGAAACGAUUAACAUUUCAUUUCCAUAAAUAAUUUAAUAAUAAUUAUGAUACAUUAACUAUAAAUUAUUUAUAAAUCAACCCAAAUCGAGACAAGUAAAUUAAAUACUAAAAUUUUGAUAAACCCUGAUACAAAAGGUACAAUAAAUAAAAUAUACUUUUAAAAAUUUAAAAUAAUAUUUCAUAAAACAAUUACAUUACCAAUAAACUAUAAUUUAAAAAAUCAAUUCUACAAAAUAUACUAAGACAAAAUUCAAUAAAAUUAUUUUUAUUA
rnacentral:rRNA from 1 species